rnacentral:rRNA from 1 species
AACGAACGCUGGCGGCGGGCUUAACACAUGCAAGUCGAACGGAAAGGCCCUGCUUUUGUGGGGUGCUCGAGUGGCGAACGGGUGAGUAACACGUGAGUAACCUGCCCUUGACUUUGGGAUAACUUCAGGAAACUGGGGCUAAUACCGGAUAGGAGCUCCUGCUGCAUUGUGGGGGUUGGAAAGUUUCGGCGGUUGGGGAUGGACGCGCGGCUUAUCAGCUUGUUGGUGGGGUAGUGGCUUACCAAGGCUUUGACGGGUAGCCGGCCUGAGAGGGUGACCGGCCACAUUGGGACUGAGAGACGGACCAGAGGCCUACGGUAGGCAGCAGUGGGGAAUAUUGUACAGUGGGCGGAAGCCUGAUGAAGAAACGCCGCGUGCGGGAUGACGGUCUUCGGGGUGUAAACAGCUUUAGCCUGUGACGACGCGUGAGUGACGGUAAUGGGUAAAGAAGCACCGGCUAACUACGUG